UCUGUGUGGCACACAAAUGUUCUUAAGGCCAGAAAAGAGGACAAAGAAAGCGAACAGAAAUGGGCGAUGAAGCCAACGGCUAAAUGCUACAACAUUAAACAGAGAAUUCUGCAAAUGGAUUUCUACAGAUGGUAUUUGUAUCUUUCUCUUUAACAUUUAGGUAUAAUUUCAAAGUUAAAUUGUGUGUUUUUCUUUUACUCAAAUCCAAUUUCUUUUGCUACUACGCUCAUGAUGAAUUGUAGCGAACGAUGAUGGUAGAAAAGAUUACGAUCAUAUGAUUAUCGAUAUGUUAAAGGAAAAGGAUUGGUAUGAAAUGAAUCGUAGUAAUCGUAUGAGUAGAAAAACAAAUUGCACACCAGGUGUUCGAUUAUUUGCCAAUACGAGCGAUGAGUUGGUAUAGUUGUGCUAAUUGCUGGUAUACUUGUACUGUACAAGAUUUGAUGCAUUUGCGUUGGUUAAGUGAUGCAUAGUAAUGAACAAUACUAUAAUAUUCAUAGCCUUUGACUAUUAUGAUUAAACAAAUGAAUCCUAAACAUCUAUUUCCUAAUAAACUUCUCAAAAAGGGCUUAACUUUGGUCGUGCUUCCCAGUUCCCAUUGCCUUUUAAGUCUAGCAUACCAGAAAAAACUAACAUGGUGUGUUGUCAUCAUUUUACUUCAAUUCUUGAUUAAUCCUUGUAUAAAAUAUAAAGGUUUUUCAAGAAUUUAUCUGUAAUGCUGAUAGACAAUAAGGAUGAUGAUAAGAUAUAAUGAUAAGUGAUAACCCUAAAGAAUAUUAUCGUGUAAAAUGUGAAAUACAAAACACCAUGUAAUGGAAUUUAUGAUCCUUAAAGUUGAACUUUUUUUAGCUUCAAAAGAUAGGGGACAACCAACUCUUCUUGGGUGGGAAGCGUCGAAUAUCUUGUGAAUUUCAAUUAUGCAGAAUAUUAUAUGAAAAAUAGGAAAUUUUCAAAACAAUAAUGUGAAAUUGUCAACAAGUCAAAAGAGUUGACCAUUUGUGCGCAUGCUCAGUUGCAUCUUGUAAUGUAAGAACUUGAAGAGGUCAUCCUCCACCUUGCUUCUUGUUGUCUAACUUAUUCAUUGAUACUUGAAUACUGCAAUUACAUUCUUAAGAUUCCACAUAAACCAUAUCACCAUAACAUGAAUCCAAUAUUGUUCUUCAAGUUUUGUUUAAUGGGUAGAGGAGGGAAAGUUAAAACUUGACAAACUUAGUGCCUUCUUAUUUAGGAAAUUAAUCCACAUCCUUUUUGGGAAAUAUUCCAAGAUUACAAAUAAUUGAGUGUCUUGAUUUGGGUCAAUGUUAUAUAAAGAAAUAUAUGCAUUUUAGCACAUCUAAUUAUACACAUUAUAGCUGUUGUAGAGAUUUUUCACAUUCUACAAUAUGAGUUUGACUUAAGAUUUGAUGAGAUAAUGUGGUGAAAUGACUUCAAAUUAUUUAUAAUCGUAAAAAAAUGUCUAGAAAUACAAUGACACAAUUUGACAUGUGGAUUUUUUUUAGUUGUAAAGUGUAGGAGGCAAUUGACUCUUCCUUCUCAGAGGCGUCGAAAGAAACAUCUAUUCUAUCCUUUAGUUUUGACAUACUUAUGUGGUUUGACUUUUGACCAUUACACAAUGAAUUAAAAAAAAAAAAAGUAAAUAUGUUUGAUAUUUUGCUGGAAGUCAACAUGUUGACUUUUUGUGUGCUUUUGCUUAUGUAUCUUUAUAAUUCUUGCUCUAAGGAAAUGAUAACUAGUAGAAGUCAGCUCCUAGCUACAGCCAGCUCAUUCAUGUUCUUAUUGUUUAGUGGAAUGCAACUAACUGAUUCACCAAAAGAGUGAAGCCGUUGGAUGAAGAUUGUACAGGUUACAUUGCAUGAUGUACAAGUUGUUAUAGCAGGAUUGAUCUAGAACAAGAAUCGCCCAUGGAAUCGGCCCUAUACCCCAGGAGAAUGACUGUUUGAUUAUUAGAUUCGUAUUAGGUUGGCAAUGACAUAACAAAUCCAUUCCCAAUAUACCCUUUGAAAAGUUGUGACUUUUAGUAUUUUACUAAUUUUCUGACCAAAUUGUUUCUCCGUUUUUUUGUUUAUAUAUUUCCAUUUCUAAUGCCUUGCUAGGUUUGAUAACUUUGUUUGUUCAAAAGAAAUAAUUGAAAUUAAAGAAUUACAAAUAAAACAACAGUAUAAUAAUUAUUUAUAGGUAUAACUCUGGUAAAUUACAAGUUUUGUUAUGCACAAUCUUUUUAUACACUAUUCUAUUCUUGCACAAUUUUGGUCUGUAGAAAAUUGUUUUAAAAAAAAAUGAGGUUUUUAUUUUCAAUUUGAAGUAAAAAAAAUAAUUAAAAACGCGUUACAAACUUUUAAUCCAAUAGAACAAGGACACUUUACUCACGUGGCAUUCUUUUUUUAAUAAAUCCAACCUUAUCCAGAGUUUCAAUCCCAAAAUUGGUGAUGGAGAUGGAAUGAAACAUUACAAUGGAAUAAAUUGAUUACAAAAAAUGAUUUUUUUUUUCUUUUGCGUAGGGGGUAGUAUUUUUCUAUGAUACAUUUGUGUACGCUCUAAACCAUUGAAGUCAAGAAAUCUCUUACACUAUUUUGUAAAUUUUAAAGAUAGCGUUUAGUAAUUUGCUGUUGAUUAUUUUUUGUAAAUUUUGUCGAAUCAAGAAUUUAUUUUUAUGUAUCGAACCUGACCAUUCUAUUAUUACAUUUGAUAAUGGUAAAUUUUAGAAUAUGAUAAGUUAUCUUGCAUUGCCUCUGUCCAGAUUUAUGUUCGGUUUGCAUUGAAGGUGAUAUCUUCACUUAUAGCUUUGAUUCAUCCACUUAAAAACAAUGU